AUGCAAAGAACUUUGAAAAGAGAGUUAAAAAGUACCUGAAAUUGCUGAAAGGUAAGCGAUAGAAACCAGUGCACAGUUUCAUCAUAUUUUUCCUUCUACUUGUAGGAGGGACGCUGUGAUUAGACAAUGGUCAGGAUGGGUUUUCCCGGGGAUAAAUGUGUAUAUAGGAGUUGCCUGUAUUCACCUAUUUCUGGUAAGACUAAGGUAGUCACGUAAGUGCUCGUGAUCCUGACAAAAUGGUUUUUAUUACCCCGUCUUGAAACACGGACCAAGGAGUCUAACACACAUGCGAGUAUGAGGGUGAUAAACCUUUAUGCGUAAUGAAAGUAACAGUGGUUGGACUCUUUUGAGGCACAAUCUGCCGGCCAUAAUUCUUCGGAAGAAAGGUCUGAGUGUGAGCAUGUGUGUUGGGACCCGAAAGAUGGUGAACUUUGCGUGAGUAGGGUGAAGCCAGGGGAAACUCUGGUGGAGGCUCGUAGCGAUUCUGACGUGCAAAUCGAUCGUCAAACUUACGUAAAGGGGCGAAAGACCAAUCGAACUAUCUAGUAGCUGGUUCCCUCCGAAAUU
rnacentral:rRNA from 1 species